AUUGAACGCUGGCGGCAUGCCUUACACAUGCAAGUCGAACGGCAGCACGGGUGCUUGCACCUGGUGGCGAGUGGCGAACGGGUGAGUAAUACAUCGGAACGUACCCUAUCGUGGGGGAUAACGCAGCGAAAGCUGUGCUAAUACCGCAUACGCCCUGAGGGGGGAAAGCGGGGGAUCGCAAGACCUCGCGCGAUUAGAGCGGCCGAUGCCUGAUUAGCUUGUUGGUGGGGUAAAAGCCCACCAAGGCGACGAUCAGUAGCUGGUCUGAGAGGACGAUCAGCCACACUGGGACUGAGACACGGCCCAGACUCCUACGGGAGGCAGCAGUGGGGAAUUUUGGACAAUGGGGGCAACCCUGAUCCAGCAAUGCCGCGUGAGUGAAGAAGGCCUUCGGGUUGUAAAGCUCUUUUGUCAGGGAAGAAACACCGGCUCUAACACAGUCCGGGAAUGACGGUACCUGAAGAAUAAGCACCGGCUAACUACGUGCCAGCAGCCGCCGUAA
rnacentral:rRNA from 1 species